rnacentral:rRNA from 1 species
CCCGCUGAACUUAAGCAUAUCAAUAAGCGGAGGAAAAGAAACUAACAAGGAUUCCCCUAGUAACUGCGAGUGAAGCGGGAAGAGCUCAAAUUUGAAAUCUGGCAGUUGUUGACUGUCCGAGUUGUAAUCUAGAGAAGUGUUACCAGUGCAGGACCGUGUACAAGUCUCCUGGAAUGGGGCAUCAUAGAGGGUGAGAAUCCCGUCUUUGGCACGGACUACCUGUACAUCAUGGUGCGCUCUCAAAGAGUCGAGUUGUUUGGGAAUGCAGCUCAAAAUGGGUGGUAAAUGCCAUCUAAAGCUAAAUAUUGGCGAGAGACCGAUAGCGAACAAGUACCGUGAGGGAAAGAUGAAAAGAACUUUGGAAAGAGAGUUAAACAGUACGUGAAAUUGCUGAAAGGGAAACGCUUGAAGUCAGUCACGUUGGCUAGAAAUCAGCCUUGCUCUUGCUUGGUGUACUUUCUGGUUGAUGGGUCAGCAUCAAUUUUGACCAUUGGAUAAAGGUCAUUGGGAAUACUCCCUGUGUCGUAAUACAGUGGUUGGGAUUGAGGAAUUCAGCACGCCGCAAGGCAGGGUUUCGACCACAUUCGUGCUUAGGAUGCUGGCAUAAUGGCUUUAAUCGACCCGUCUUGAAACACGG